rnacentral:rRNA from 1 species
UGCAUUGAUGGCUCAGUGAGGCCUUGGGAUUGGCUUAGGAGGGUUGGCAACGACCCCCCAGAGCCGAAAACUUGGUCAAACUCGGUCAUUUAGAGGAAGUAAAAGUCGUAACAAGGUUUCCGUAGGUGAACCUGCGGAAGGAUCAUUACCGAGUGAGGGCCCUUUGGGUCCAACCUCCCACCCGUGUUUAUUUACCUCGUUGCUUCGGCGGGCCCGCCUUAACUGGCCGCCGGGGGGCUCACGCCCCCGGGCCCGCGCCCGCCGAAGACACCCCCGAACUCUGCCUGAAGAUUGUCGUCUGAGUGAAAAUAUAAAUUAUUUAAAACUUUCAACAACGGAUCUCUUGGUUCCGGCAUCGAUGAAGAACGCAGCGAAAUGCGAUACGUAAUGUGAAUUGCAAAUUCAGUGAAUCAUCGAGUCUUUGAACGCACAUUGCGCCCCCUGGUAUUCCGGGGGGCAUGCCUGUCCGAGCGUCAUUGCUGCCCUCAAGCCCGGCUUGUGUGUUGGGCCCCGUCCUCCGAUUCCGGGGGACGGGCCCGAAAGGCAGCGGCGGCACCGCGUCCGGUCCUCGAGCGUAUGGGGCUUUGUCACCCGCUCUGUAGGCCCGGCCGGCGCUUGCCGAUCAACCCAAAUUUUUAUCCAGGUUGACCUCGGAUCAGGUAGGGAUACCCGCUGAACUUAAGCAUAUCAAUAAGCGGAGGAAAAGAAACCAACAGGGAUUGCCCCAGUAACGGCGAGUGAAGCGGCAAGAGCUCAAAUUUGAAAGCUGGCUCCUUCGGGGUCCGCAUUGUAAUUUGCAGAGGAUGCUUCGGGAGCGGUCCCCAUCUAAGUGCCCUGGAACGGGACGUCAUAGAGGGUGAGAAUCCCGU